rnacentral:lncRNA from 1 species
CCAUGGGACUUCAAUUGGAUCUGGAGGCACCCAUAGACCUCCUAGAAUAAGCAUGCUGAGCCACUCCUUGAGGACAAGAAGCAUCUCUAGAAAUCAUGGUAUAUGGAGAUUCCUUCAUUGAAGGAGCUCCCAUUUGAGUAGGCUCUAUAUUAUGCUGGUGUCAGCUCGAUCAAUUCUCGAAGUAUUGCCAACCUCCCAGGCUUGAGCUUUUCAUUUCAAUUUUGCUUUCAUAUCCCGCUGAGUACU